rnacentral:rRNA from 1 species
UGGAUUAGUGGCGCACGGGUGAGUAACGCAUAGAUAACAUGCCCUUUAGUUUGGGAUAGCCACUAGAAAUGGUGAUUAAUACCAAAUACUACCCUACGGGGGAAAGAUUUAUCGCUAAAGGAUUGGUCUAUGUCCUAUCAGCUUGUUGGUGAGGUAAAGGCUCACCAAGGCAAUGACGGGUAUCCGGCCUGAGAGGGUGAACGGACACACUGGAACUGAGACACGGUCCAGACUCCUACGGGAGGCAGCAGUUAGGGAAUAUUGCUUUUUUUUGGGCGCAAGCCUGAAGCAGCAACGCCGCGUGGAGGAUGAAGGUUUAGGAUGUAACUCCUUUGUAGAGAAA